GUACCUUGGAGAACGAUGUGAAACCCUGAGGCUUUUCCCGAGUAGGUUUAUGGUAGGCAGUCGCCGUAGGCCGAGAUUCCGUCGGUGAACGACAGUCUUGAUUGUAGUGAGGCGAAGACUCGACAUGUGGGACUUGAGAUGGAAUGCGCAGUUGCUCGUUCUGAUGUCGUUUCCUGGCAAACAUUUGUAUUAAACGCAAUUAAACAAAUAUUCAAGAUAUUCAAGAUUAUGCCAACAUCCUUUUCCUUCAAAAAAAAUAUAUCACGAUAUUUUACAUGCGGUUGAUCACGAAGGGCGUACCUUGACGUAUGAAAACUGAGAUUAUUCUUUUCCAUAUUCGCUUGAAUAAUUUCUAAGAGCUGUUGCCUUUGUAGGGCACCACUGCGUUUUCGCUGAUUAGUCGUGAGGAGAGGCGUCAAGGGGGAAACUGCGGGGGAGACAUCGCUGUCAUCGCUAAUAUCACCCUCGGAGCUAUUGGAAUAGGGUGAUGGUAAAUGAGGCACGGGCCCCACCCUUCUGCGUAAUUCCUCCUGUUUUAUUCGAUUCGUUCGCGCAUUUUCACCGUCAUCCUCACUGUGAGUAUCCACUUCUUUCUGUUCAGUCUAAAAUAAUGCAUGGAAAAAACAUAUUCUCAUUUACCAAAUAUAUAAUAUAAUUUAUUAUUAAUUUUAUUUUCAGUAUAUAAAAAAUUCUUUCGUCACUUCAAUUAUUUCUUAUCACGUAUUUUGUCACAUAAAACAUUUUAAAUUUACAAAUAAAUGUAUAUUUCAUGAAAAGAGCAAUUACAAAUGUUUUAUUCAAUUGUCAGAAUUCGAAAACAUCAUAAUAGCAACAAAAAGUCGAUCCACAAGAAUCCCUUCUACAUCUGUUCAACAUCAACAAGGGAGAAAAAAAAAAAAGAAAGAAAGAAAGAAAAAAAGUAGUAUAUAAAAAAAAGAAAAAAAAAACGAAUAAAAAAAAUAAGCCCUCUCUCCCGCAUGCGAUAAAUCUCGAAAGGCAGAAAUGAUAAAUCCGCCUCUAGCUUCUAGAAUUGUUGUCGGUUACGAAAGAGGAGACACGGCUCCAUAAAAAUCCAAGCCUCGAAUCCUCACCUCGUAAGGGCAUCAAUCUUACCUGGCAACGGUGUCGUGGCAUCCUUCUCCUUCUAGGAACUCUACGUAAACCGUGUGCGCCGGUAUGGGUCCCGGCAUUGUUGCAGGACGUGUGCUUCAAAUGGCAGCAGGACGAAUUUCCGGAAAAGCUCGUAGCAGCCGGCUUUGAGGACGCGUUCAAACAGCCGCCGCCGCUCGAUCGCGUCUGACUGCCUCUCUGAUCCGGCGACACAGUCAAUUUCACCUUAAUCGUCUUACUGCCGCACGGAGGUACCUGAAUAGAAGCGCCCAGGGUAUCGUAAAUGGUAGUAACCAGGCCGGCUAUGUCGUCUUUUGUUAUCUUCCCGUGGCCGUCGAAGUCGUACAGGGUGAACGAGAAUUCUUGCCGUCUUCGGUCGCCCUCCGCUACCGAAACGUCGCAUUCGAAUUCCUGCAAUGGCACCAAAUAUUAUAUUACGAUCUAUCAAGUUGGAUAGGGAGCAAGAUAACGAUUGAAAUCAAUAUUAUAUAGUCGGAGAAUAUAUAGUUUACCGUUUAGAAAUUUGUUAAAUUUAUUAAUUUGAAUAAUUUUUUAUUACAUUUUAGGUAGAAAUAAAUUAAAAGAUGAUACGGUAGAACGUUUAUAUGUAUGCCAAGUUCAUCCAACAUCUAUGCAUUGUUCGAUUUAAGGAAAUUCCCUUUAAAAACAGAUGGGAGAAUAAUAAAAAAAAAAACAUAGAAUUUGCUCGUUUCACUUUGUUCUGUUCCUGUUUUAACAAGCAAGGGAGUUAAUAAUACCUCGAAACUGAGUUGCUUCGUUGUACUAGCGCUUGGCUGCUCGUCAUUUCCGGUGGCCGGCGUAGGACUAGUAGAAGCGUCAACCGCGACCUGCGGUGCUUCUGUUUCUAACAAAAUUGGCUGGGAUUCCGGUGGUGAACCACUACGAGGCGCGGAAACACCGCCAAGAAGUUCUUCCGAGUCACUGCCUUCGGUAUUACCAACCACUGUAAUCAUUGUUGAGCAACAAUGAACGAAGAGUUUCAUUUACAAUUUAACUCAAAUUACGUUUCCACUAUUCUAAAGUAAAUUAUAGUACAAUCAAAAAUUCUCCAAGUAAAAUACAUAAAUUGUAGUCUUGUUCCACGUGCAUGAAGUUCUCAUCAAAGGAAAUGAAACUGUUAUCUACGGUCGAGCGACGGCAUCGCUCGUAAACAAAAGUCAGAAUCUCAAAGGUAUCAAAGUAACAUCCUCCAUGGGUAAAGCCUAUAUUUAUAGUCAGUUUCUGAGUGCCACUCGGUACUUAAAGUUACGGAGUGUAGGAAGUAUUUUCGGACUAUUUUGAAGGGGAUGUAUAACUUUGAAUCACCAGAAAUAAAUACAACAGAUAUCACGAAAACGAUCCUACGAUCACGUUUUCCCGUUUACUAAUUUAAAAAAAAAAGAAAAACAGUGAGAUUGUUCUUUUCGUGCUCGGCUCGCGAUCUAAAGAAGAAGCAAAAAGUUAGAGGAGGAAAAACGACUGAAAAGAUCGCUGAAAAGAUUUUAAUCUCGAGUAAAAAACAGGGAAAAAUGUAAAUCGACGGAAGCGUGUCUAGAAAUUGAUGGAUGCAAGCAUGUUUAAACGCGUAAAUUACAGAUCAAAGAGUUUGCUGUUUCAUAAUUACAAAGCGACCGGAUUCCGUGCAUAAAAGCGCAAUUAUCUUUAAUGCAUUCGCUCUAUUGCUCGGCCGAAAAUUAUUUGCGCGGUGCAGCAACCGGGCGAGCAAGCGAGCAAAUUAACGAAAGUUCCACCGAAAGGGACGGGCACACAUCCAUUUCCAGCGUUUAUUUCAGAAACGUUUUGCACACUCGCCGAAGGAAGUGUAAUGUAUCUUUAAUGUGUCUGCAUUACGCCGCCGUUUACCGUUACCUAGACGCCUGUGUAAAAGCAUUCUACGAAAUGAAACGUUGAAAAGAUACCUUUACGCAACUGCCGUGCAUAAAUGAACAUCUAUAGAGCACGACACGCCACAACAUAGAGCAAUAUUUUUUUUUUUUAAAUAUGCAAAAUAAAUGUUUUUGGCGACGAUAGAAAAUGGUUAGGAAAAAUUUUAUUUUUUUAUAUGAUUGAUAUGUAAGAUUGAUAUGUGUAUUAUAUGUUUAAGUAAAAGAAUAUUAUCAUUGAAUAUGUUUUUUCGUGUGAUAAAUACGAAAUACGUUCAGAUAUUUAAUGAAAAUGUAUAGAACAUAAUUUGAUUAUUAAAUGAUUAUUUGAUUGUUAAAUGUUUUAUGAUGAAAUUUUAAUGAUAAA